rnacentral:rRNA from 1 species
CCUACGGGAGGCAGCAGUAGGGAAUCUUUCACAAUGGGCGAAAGCCUGAUGGAGCAACGCCGCGUGCAGGAUGAAGGCCUUCGGGUUGUAAACUGCUUUUAUAAGCGAGAAAUAUGAUGGUAACUUAUGAAUAAGGAGCGGCUAACUACGUGCCAGCAGCCGCGGUCAUACGUAGGAUCCGAGCAUUAUCCGGAGUGACUGGGUGUAAAGAGUUGCGUAGGUGGCAUAAUAAGUAGCUAGUGAAAUCUGGUGGCUCAACCAUUCAGACUAUUAGCUAAACUGUUAAGCUCGAGACCGUUAGUGGUAACUGGAAUUUCUAGUGUAGGAGUGAAAUCCGUAGAUAUUAGAAGGAACACCAAUGGCGUAGGCAGGUUGCUGGGACGGUUCUGACACUAAGGCACGAAAGCGUAGGGAGCAAACGGGAUUAGAUACCCCAGUAGUC